UGGGGGAAUUUUGGACAAUGGGCGAAAGCCUGAUCCAGCAAUGCCGCGUGUGUGAAGAAGGCCUUCGGGUUGUAAAGCACUUUUGUCCGGAAAGAAAUCCUUGGCUCUAAUACAGUCGGGGGAUGACGGUACCGGAAGAAUAAGCACCGGCUAACUACGUGCCAGCAGCCGCGGUAAUACGUAGGGUGCAAGCGUUAAUCGGAAUUACUGGGCGUAAAGCGUGCGCAGGCGGUUUGCUAAGACCGAUGUGAAAAUCCCCGGGCUCAACCUGGGAACUGCAUCGGUGACUGGCAGGCUAGAGUAUGGCAGAGGGGGGUAGAAUUCCACGUGUAGCAGUGAAAAUGCGUAGAGAUGUGGAGGAAUACCGAUGGCGAAGGCAGCCCCCUGGGCCAAUACUGACGCUCAUGCACGAAG
rnacentral:rRNA from 1 species